rnacentral:rRNA from 1 species
CUACGGAGGGUGCAAGCGUUGUUCGGAAUUACUGGGCGUAAAGCGCGCGUAGGCGGUCUGUUAUGUCAGAUGUGAAAGUCCUCGGCUCAACCGGGGAAGUGCAUUUGAAACUGGCUGACUUGAGUACUGGAGGGGGUGGUGGAAUUCCCGGUGUAGAGGUGAAAUUCGUAGAUAUCGGGAGGAAUACCGGUGGCGAAGGCGACCACCUGGCCAGAUACUGACGCUGAGGUGCGAAAGCGUGGGGAGCAAACAGGAUUAGAAACCCGGGUAGUCC